UUGAUUUUUUACAGAGAGGAAGGGAGAGAGAGAGAGAGUUAGAAACAUCAAUGAAAGAGAAACAUCGAUCAGCUGCCUCCUGCACAUCUCUUACUGGGGAUGUGCCCGCAACCCAGGUACAUGCCCUUGACCGGAAUCGAACCUGGGACCUUUCAGUCCACAGACCGACGCUCUAUCCACUGAGCCAAACCGGUUUCGGCGGGGCUAUAUUAUUUAAAAUAAAAUGUAUUUUUUAUCAUUGAUAGUAUUACAGAUGUCUCCCAUUUUCGCCUGCGCAUAUAUUCCUUGGGGGAUCUCUCCCAGUCCUCCCCACAACCCUCUCCUGGGAGAUCUGCCCCUCUGUUCCAGUUAACCAGGCCUCUAGUCCCAUCUUCUCUUUCCCAGGGCCACUUGCUGAGCCACAUUACCUUUAUUCACCAAUGUCAUUGGCUGGGAUGCUAGUACCCCCCCCCCCCCUUGGCAUUUGGGAAAACUACAUUACCCAGGAAGAAAUGCGCCGACAUGGGCGGAGCUACAGAGCACCUUUGGUGUCAGUGAAUCUGGUUAGGGCGGGACUUCCGCCUUUCUCCUCCUGGCCCGCAUUUUGACCUCUUCAGUUUGUUUAAGGACUCACAGUCUUCAGCCCACGGGUUGUGAGUAGGAAGAGGCCUAGUAGGCAGCGUCCUUGCUGUGCGGGGUGUGUCUGAGGCUUGUUGACCGCCAACAGGCCAGGAUUGGGAACUCCGUGCCUCCCAAACUCCUCUCUGCUUAAGCUUUCUCUCAGCCUGACCCCAUUUAACCCUCCAGCCUUGGGGACUGGCACCUCUCAGUUACUGCAGCCCAGGAAGCCGCAUCCAGAACAAGGAAGAACAGACUAGAAGUCAGAGGACAGCAGCUGUGGACAGGAAGGGGAAGUCCUGUAAAUGAUAAGGGAGCUGGCAGAGUGAGCCCUGAGGACUGAGCCCUGAGGUAACACAGGCAUCUGGAGGGCACCUGGCCUCUGGGCUGGGCAAGGGUAUUGCACAUUCUGAGCCCAUAGAUCCUGGUGGUUGACAGGCUCUCAACAGACCAUUUUCUUUCCACAAAUUCCCGCAAAUGCAGAAGGAAUUAGGUGUACCGGCUCAUGAAUAUUAUUUCAGGGCCUCACACUCUUGGGGCCUCAGCGAGAGUGUUGUCCUGGCACUGUCCAGCCCCUCUUGUAGCCCCUGGACCUGGGUACUUUGAACAGACACCAAGCCCAGAAUCCUAAGGCCACGAGUAGGGCUUCGGGAAGUGAACCUUCUUCCUGGCAACCAGUGUGAUGAUUGGGAGGUCAUCCAGGGCAGUGGUUGCCAACCAAUUGUCCGUGGACGACUGGUGCUCCGUGAGGUCCGAAAGGUUGACAACCUCUUCUCCAGGGCAUAAUUUCCAGAAUGUGAAAAGGCUUUGGUUGAAGAGUGAGCUGAUUCAAGAACCAGCAGGUAUGUUUUUUACAUGUAUACAACCCAGGAUGUGACCUCACCAGUGCAUGGGUCUCCACUCAACCAACUGACACACAUGAGCCAGGGCUGUAGAUCACUUUCAUACAACGAAUCAUGGUGAGGUUGGUAAUGGUAGUAGUAGCUCAGAAGGACAGUGUACGACUGAGGACUGGCUUUCCUGCUGGGGCCACUGUAGGAGGUGGGUGUCACAACACAGCAGAGGGAGAGAGGUUGUCAUGUAGAUUUUGGGGAGAGGUAAUCAUUUUGUAGUGGUCAAGGCCUUUAAAUGAUGAAUGGACCUGAGAUUAACUGGAGGUUAAAGAAUUACUCAAAACAAGAUGAGACUAGGGCUGGUACAUAUUAACUUCUCUAAACACUCACCAGGAUUUUUAUGACCCUUGGUGUGGCCUGGCUUUGGGAAUAUGCAGUCAAUCUUGUGGAUUAGUUUAGAGGCUUGAGUGGUCCUCUGUGAGACUCACUGGGCAUGAUGCAGAGGGCCAUCGGGGCUGGGACUUGAGUGGCGGUUAAAUGAGAGAUGUUGGCAAGCAUUCUCUGGACAAGACAUGCCGAGUAAUAACUCAGAGGCCAAGGAGAGGACUAUGGGGGCUGGGGCUGAGGGAGUGCAGGUGUGAGCCAGGUGUGGAAAAGAGAGAUAUGCACUUGAAGAGGGAAUGUGAAUUGAUGGCCACAGCACCCUGAUACUGACAGAAGAGUGAAUGAUGGAGAGUCUAUUUCUGGUGGUGUCUGGAUGAUCCAAUAAGGUGAAUUUUAGGGUAAUUCCCUGUAAGGAGGGGUGUUUUGGUGUUACAUUCAAGGUACAGAGCUUAGGUGCCAUUUAACUGACCACCUGCUUUUUGUUGUGGAUGACACACUGGUCAAUAGGAGUGAGAUAGCAUGCAUCAGUGUUACCCAGGCUUCAAAAUCUCCACUGGAAUGGGUCAGGGAGAAGGGUAAGGGGUAAGACAUUAUGGACAUGGUGGACUAUAAUUUUGGGGGGAAGAAGUGAUUAGGAAACAAUUUGUCCUCACCACAGCAAAUUUGCAUUACCUUUGCAGUUGUGCUUCUGGGAGUGAAGCUGUGUG